GAAACAGGAAAACAAAAAUAAAGAAAAUAAAUGCACAAAACACAUGAGGCGUUUCCUAUACAUAGAGAAAUACUAAAACCGAUGAGGGAAGAAAUAUGGAAGACAAAAACUAGAAAUGAAAAUAGAUAAAGGAUAACAAAAAAAGAAAAAGAAAGAAUAACAGAACGAAAGUGCUGAAGCUUAGCAGAUCCCGCUUCGUGGCAGGGUGUUUAUACCGGUGAACCUCGAUGAGGGAGUUCGCUGGUUAGAUUUGCUAGGAGCGCGCUUGUUGUGUAUGGACUAAAAUACAUAGUAGGGGGACGGUCCAGCACGGAGCGUUUCAGACGUUCGUUUAUAAAAUACGUAGUAACGGGCACCUGAAUCGUUAAAGAGUUCGUCUAGAUCUUAGUCGACUUAGAGUUCGUGAAGUCUAAGUUGGUUAAGGUAGUCUAAGUUGGUUAACGUAAUUAUAAGCAGAUUAAGCCUGUUAACUAGCUUUCAUUUUGUUGGGUUGUAUCAGGCUUAAGUUCUGGGAUCUUUUCCUUCUCCUGGUUGUUUAUUUUAUCAUUUUGGUCUGGGAUUUUUACUUUGUUUGUCUGCAUCUGGAGGGCUAUGAAUUUGUUUGUUUUUCAUUUCACAUAUUUUAAAAUGCUAUUAAACGAAAAAAUACCACGAAUAGCAUAUCAUCUAAGCGCAUCCUCUUCUUCACCAAAAGACAUAUGCCUACAUUAUCUACGCACAUGCAUGAUAGAUUUCUAGAAAAAUAAUUUGCUAUACCACGUCAUCGUCGUAUCAAACUCCAUGUUAUACACAUCAUCUCAUCAAAAUAAAAAGAAAAAAAGAUUUGACGCAUGCAUCAAAUGCCCAAACAACCUCUUAUUUUUCCAUCCGCGUUCCCAUAGAUAAAACAAUCUUGCAUUCAGGACCCUAACAUUUCACAAUCAGCGUCCUUAAAGCUUUUGUUUCCUCACAAACAAGGAUAAAUUUUUGACAGGACGCGAGAAUUUCGGCUAGGAAUUGAGGCAGCAUAACACGUCGAAGAGAAACGCAUCCAUCCCCGUGUCAUCCUGCCCAUCGACAAAAAAACUCAAUUGUGGUUAGAUAUGUGGGCAUGCAGUUGUAGUCGGAAAAGACACUUGUGGUUGCAUGUCUUGUGUCACACAUGUAACUGCCUCCCUCCUCCACUCUCGUCGUCCACAAACAAAAGAAAAGGGUUAGUUGGCUGUAGGCAUGCAAUUUGCAUUCGGAGGUGACACUUGCACUUGUAUGUCUAAUGCACACAUGCAAGAAGCAGUGAGGGCGACACUUGCAGUUGCAAGCCUAAUUUGCCCGGCAUGCAACUACCCCCCCCCCCAUAUCUUCCCCACCCUCCGAUAAAAAGCACAAUUGCCCCACAUGCAACUACUCCCCCCCCUCAUCUCCCCGCCGCCCUCCAUGAAAAGCACAAGGACAGUUGCGUUGGGAGGGAGACGUGCAAUUACAAUCGAGGAUGACACGCGGAGCUACAAGCCUAGUGUAGUACAUGCGACUCCUCCCCCCUCUUGAUCCGCCCACUAACCAAACAAAAGGUUGGUUGCAGUUGGGUGUGUAGGCAUGCAGUUGCAGUCGAGGGUAACGCUUGAGUUACAAGACUAGUGUCUAAGAUGCAAAUGUCCUCCUCUCUCUCGCCCUUUGACAAAAAACACAAGUUGGGGAUAUACCCCACGGUAUGACCUAGACAGAAUAUGACCCAGUCACCAGUGGCGGCUCAUGAUGAGUAUCAAUGUAUGGGCCGCGGUUAACCAUGAAGUUCAAGGCCUAGGACGCGGCUUGAGUAGAAGGUCGGGUCGUGGUCCGAUAUCUCACAGGCCAACUCAUAAUCAAGAAGCAAGUCAUAAGGAGUUUUCCUUUACUUGAGAGACAAGAUGAGUAGGCAGUAGACUAAGGCACGGGUUGUAAUACAAACCGGACUCUCUCUCUCUCUCUCUCUGAGGAAUAGUUAUUCUUCACCCCCUUCAUUUUAAUAUCAAUGCAUCGUAAUUUUACGUUCCGUAAUUUUUUUACUUAUUCCAUACGUAAAAACACACCGUAAGAAAAUAUAUAAUCGUCGUAAAAAAUAUUUUUGUUACGUAAAAACACAGUGUAAAAGAUACAUAAAAUGCAUAUUUUCUUAUCUUACAGCCUAUAUUUUUAAAUUUUUGAUGCCAAAUUUUACAUAGUGGGUCAAUAUGAAUGUAACUAUUUGUAUUUUAAAUGUAAUUUAUUUAUGAAAAGCUCGUAAGAUUACCUCGGAUGAAGAAUAAACUAUUUUGCAUCCUGGGUGAUGAAUAAAAUUAUAUAUAUAUAUAUAUAUCAAAAAAGAAGAUGGAAAUUUGUAAAGAAAAAAUAAAUUUCCUUGGUCAUGAAAUAGGAGAAGGAAAAAUAUAUUUGCAAGAACACAUUGCAAAGAAAAUUUUAGAGUUUCCUGAUAAUAUGAGUGAUAAAAAAGUUCUACAACAAUUCUUAGGAAUUGUAAACUAUGCAAGAAAUUACAUAGAUAACCUAGCAAAGCUAGCCGGACCUUUAUAUGCUAAAUUAAGAAAGAAUGGUCAAAGAUAUUUUAAUUCUGACGAUAUAAAAUUAGUAAAGGCCAUCAAAGAAAAAGUCAAGAAUUUAAAGCCCCUAGAAUUGCCUCUAGAAGAUAAUUAUUUUAUUAUUGAAACAGAUGCAUCUAAAGUAGGAUGGGGUGCUAUAUUAAAACAAAAACCUAAUAAAUAUUCCCCAAAAGCAGAUGAAAAAAAUAAAGUUAUAAGUUAAAAACGGUAAAUAAUAUUGAUAGAGAAAUCCUCGCAGUUGUAAAUGCAAUAAAUGCUUUUAGGUUAUAUCUAGGAUUCAAAGAAUUUACAGUGCAAAUUGAUUGUGAAGCCAUAUGUCGAUAUUGUAAUAAAAUUAAUAGUAAGAAAAGUUCAACCAGAAGAUGGGUCUUAUUUGAAGACACCAUAGCUGGGAAUGGUUAUAAAGUUGUUUUUGAGCAUAUUAAGGGAAAAGAUAAUACCUUACCUGACAUAUUUUCUCGUGCACCAAAUUUGCAGAAAUGAAGAAAGGAUUAUUCCCCACCAGGGACGAAUGCUUCUUCUUUAGAGAGGAGAACAGGCUGAAGAUAUUUCAGCCAAAUACCUUCAAUUUCAAGCCAAAGGCCCAUAUCAAGCUUGAUGAAAUUCAGAGGUGCAUAUUGGACAAUUUCUGGUUCCAAUAUACCAAUAAGAGAGAUGAAAAAGGAUAUAUGCUAUCAAUUCUAAAUAGCUUGGCAGAAUAUUUUAACCAAAUGAAUAUGAAGGCGACAAAACUAGAAAGGGCUGAAAUACAAAAAGGAGAAAUAUUAUAUGUUUUGUUUGACGAAAAUAAACCCGAAAUAUAUUUGACAUGGGAAUACAUCAUGAUAGAGAAACUAGAUGCAAAACGAAUGGGACAAAACUUAACAUUCAAAAAAUAUGAAAGUAUUGAUGAUGCCUUGUUUUGGGCAAGAAAAGUGAUAGGGGAAAACUAUUAUAUUGACCCCAAGGCUAAAGAUUAUAUCCAGAAGAGAAAGAAUGGAGAUAACAAUGCAUCUAAUAUGCCAAUAUUUAAAAUUACAAAGGGGGGAUCAUCAGGAAAGAAUAUAAAGGAAGAAGGUUCUCCAAAAAAUUAUACAUAUAAGGAAUGCCUUCUGAAGGGCCUAGACCCUUUGGAUAGUGAAUAUAUAGAUCAAGAAAUGGACAAAAGAUUUGAAGAAUUGUCAAAAAUAAUGAAGAAAGAAUUAAAGGAAGAGAUAUUAGAAGAAAUAAGGGUUGAAAUGAAAAUAAGAUUUGAAGAUAUAAAGAAAGAAUGUGAUACGAAGUAUGAUUUCCAUCUCUUAGAUGAGGAUCAUAUGGAUAUCGCAGGGCAUGGGCAGCCACCUGAGUAAAACCCAACUUCAAAUGUCACUGAAUUUGAAUUGAUAUUACUAUCAAUUAUUCGGGCGCGGAGGACAUAUACCCCGACUGAAUACUGAUAGGAAUCUAGAAUCUUAAUGUAUAUUGAUAUGAAAUAUCAAUUAUAUGGGCAGGGAAGACCCCCCUAAAAAAAUGAAGCAUGUAUGCGUACGCAUACCAAUAGCCAAUGCACAAACAUGUGCAUGUUUACAGCCAAGUAUGCCCGCAUACACAUAUCAUCAGGCAGUGUACGGGCACAUGCAUAUCCAAAGAUUGUAAUAGUCUGAAGAUUAAAGUCCAAGACAAAAUCAUGACGAGAAGAAAAUCAAAAAAGAAGACAAUGCCACCUCCAUUGGCAGCCAAGAUACCAUGUGCAAACCUUUCCAACAUGCACUCAAUACCCUAGAAAGAAGGGCUAUAAUGGUUACAAAGCCUAUAAAGCCUAGAAGGCCUAAAAACUAGGUGCAUGAUGGACAAGGAGAAAGAAGGAGGAAAUAAUAGAGGAGCCUUCUCCUGGAAGCCAUCCAAGUGGUGCUCUCUUGCCUAUAAAAGGAGGAGUCUUGCUGUGAAGAGAGACACCAGACGGAGAAGAACCAGCCACAAAUAGAGCACAGAGUUGCAACGCAGCUAGCAAGCUCUUUGUUCAGUAGUAGUAGUAGUACUUCCUCAUCGUGUAAUAAAGAGCUACAAUAUUUAGAGUAGUUAGAAGGUAAUUUCUUUAUCCUUGUGUAAACCCUUCGGGGGUUCCCGAAAGGGAAAACCAUAUGUAAAUUAUGUUGCGGAAAUGAUGUAGUUUCGUGUUUUCACUUGGUAUUUUAUUUUUGAAUUUAUGGAACGAGUUCUUAUGCUAGGGAUCCUAUAGAAGAAAACUCUGCCGGUAGUUCUCUGUGUAGCCUUUUAUGGCAUUUGAAUGAGAACCUUAUGGCCGUAGAGAAGUGUUCCCUUCGGGUGGAACUGCCUGGGAAGACGAUAGGAAUUUACUCCAUAAAUUUGCAACUAAAACAUCAAGUGAACGAACUUAGCUACAUCUGAAACAACAUAAUGAUAAAUAUGGUGAGUACUGAGUAGGAUAUUACACCACUGCUUACACCUCAGUCGUCUUGUUGGCCUCGACAACCCCUCAAAGAUCCUGCAAUAUAAGCGAAAUAAUUUAAAAACACUUCGUAUUAAAAAUAAUAUAAAAAUAAAUAAAUAAGUUUGUAUUUACUUUAAUAACUCGUAUAGUAAUCACGUAUAUCAAUAUUAAAACCUGAAUUUAUAACUUAAUUUAGUUUAAAUUAAUUAAUAAUUUAAUUAUUUCGUAUAUUAUGAAAUAUCAAUUAUAUGGGUAGGGAAGACCCCCCUCAAAAAAAAUGUAGCAUGUAUGCGUACGCAUAUCAAUAGCCAAUGCACACACAUGUGCAUGUUUGCAGCCAAGUAUGCCCACAUACACAUAUCAGCAGGCAAUGUACGGGCACAUGCAUAUGCAAAGAUUGUAAUAUUUCUGAAGAUUAAAGUCCAAGACAAAAUCAUGAGGAAGAAGAAAAUCAAAAAAGAAGACAAUGCCACCUCCAUUGGCAGCCAAGACACGGUGUGCAAACCUCUCCAACAUGUACUCAAUACCCUAGAAAGAAGGGCUAUAAUGGCUACAAAGCCUAUAAAGCCUAGAAGGCUUAAUAACUAGGUGCAUGAUGGACAAGGAGAAAGAAGGAGAAAAUAAUAGAGGAGCCUUCUCCCGGAAGCCAUCCAAGAGGUGCUCUCUUGUCUAUAAAAGGAGGAGUCUUGCUGCGAAGAGAGACACCAGACGGAGAAGGACCAGCCACAGAUAGAGCACAGAGUUGCAACUCAGCUAGCAAGCUCUUUGCUCAGUAGUAGUAGUAGUAGUAGUAGUAGUAGUAGUAGUCGUAGUAGUAGUAGUAGUAGUACUUCCUCAUCGUGUAAUAAAGAGCUACAAUAUUUAGAGCAUUUGUAAGCUCGCGAAGGUAGUUAGAAGGUAAUUUCUUUAUCCUUGUGUAAACCCUUCGGGGGUUCUCGAAAUGGAAAACCAUAUGUAAAUUAUGUUGUGGAAAUGAUGUAGUUUCGUGUUUUCACUUGGUAUUUUAUUUUUGAAUUUAUGGAACGAGUUCUUAUGCUAGGGAUCCUAUAGGAGAAAACUCUGCCGGUAGUUCUCUGUGUAGCCUUUUAUGGCAUUUGAAUGAGAACCUUAUGACCGUAGAGAAGUGUUUCCUUCGGGUGGAACUACCUGUGAAGACGAUAGGAAUUUACNNNNNNNNNNNNNNNNNNNNNNNNNNNNNNNNNNNNNNNNNNNNNNNNNNNNNNNNNNNNNNNNNNNNNNNNNNNNNNNNNNNNNNNNNNNNNNNNNNNNNNNNNNNNNNNNNNNNNNNNNNNNNNNNNNNNNNNNNNNNNNNNNNNNNNNNNNNNNNNNNNNNNNNNNNNNNNNNNNNNNNNNNNNNNNNNNNNNNNNNNNNNNNNNNNNNNNNNNNNNNNNNNNNNNNNNNNNNNNNNNNNNNNNNNNNNNNNNNNNNNNNNNNNNNNNNNNNNNNNNNNNNNNNNNNNNNNNNNNNNNNNNNNNNNNNNNNNNNNNNNNNNNNNNNNNNNNNNNNNNNNNNNNNNNNNNNNNNNNNNNNNNNNNNNNNNNNNNNNNNNNNNNNNNNNNNNNNNNNNNNNNNNNNNNNNNNNNNNNNNNNNNCAAGAUAAAAUAAAAUACAUAAACCACAUAAAAUAUAAAUGCAAAUCGGUCAAAAUCUGUUUUAUCAUGAAAAUAAUUAAUCAAAAAUAUAAUGAACCGCACAAAUUGAGAAACGACAAAAAUAGGUAUACAAUUGAGAAACGACAAGAAUUUGUUCCACCAGCUGAUGAGUUGGACCCUACAACUCUUUUGUAUCCCAACAGUCUGCCUCGAUCGACUACUAGAAACUUGGACCAAGCUUGCCGUGGGUGGCAAAGUAGGUUUCAAGGAAUGGUGUGAUUUCUUUCACAAUCGUGAAGUGGACUCCUUUGCUAUCAAGAGUUUAGAAGAUCAACACUUGUAUAAUGUGGCCUUUUUUUCCAUAUGGCUUUGUCGCUACGUCAUUGUCUGUGGUGGGCCAUAUAUUCGUCCCGGGGUAUUAGUGAUGGCGUCCUGAAUUCCUUAGGAAGGCUCAUCUCUUUGUGACCACCCACUCUUUGCUCUCUUUAUUACUCACUUCGACAAAUUUGUACUCAUCCGAUCGGCCCCUAGUUCAUGUAUAGAAUUUUGCCGGUACACUACCUUGCUGGAUGGAUGGGUGUGUACCUCAGGAAACCAUAUGGAAAGAAAGUAAAAACACCACAUUUCCCGAGCUCUGAAAUCUUGGUAGUGGAACCCAAUAUGGUGAAAAUCAUGUUUAAGACACCGCAUCAAUUUUACUCCUGAAGAGGCCCAUGCCUUCCUCAAUGAUUAUAAGAAUGUUGCUUGGAACCCCUAUGCCCUGACUAAGGAAGGCGUGUUCAGACCCAAGAGAGCUUUUUUGAUUUCUAUUCGUCGGGGAAUGUUGCCGUGGAGGCGUGGUACUAUUACUGAUGACAUGUGUAUAGCCGAACCAUAUCACCCAGAUCGAGUGGCACGCCAAUUCCGUCUUGACCAAGUUGUACCCUUCUCUCGUGCCCCAAGCUCGGGAUGACCGUGUGGUAUGCCUAACUUUGCGAUCACUGGAUUGGCUACCUCACUAGUGUCUGGUUCAAAUAGGUGUAUUUAGGCCAACCGUGAUAGAGGCAUUCUACAUGAUUCAGACGAAGAUGGUGUCGUAGCUUCCUCCAUCUAUAUGAAAGGAAGAUAUUCAUGUCGGUAUAUGCAUGAAAUUAUAGAAAUUAAAUGAAUAGUACAUGAAAAGGCAGCAUCAAAAAUUUAUUACCAAAGUAGAAGUAAUGACCCAAGCAAGACGGCCUGUGACUCAGGACAAUUAGAGGUAGAAUCUGCAAUAAAAAUAAUAAUAAUAACAAUUCAAUAUUUAGAGUUGACACGCAAAAUAAAAAAAAGGAAUAUGAGAAAUUGGUAAUAUUUCUCAUACUCACUGUCGAACGACGGACAGAGCCCAUAUAUAGGCUCCCCGGAACGCCAACAACGAGCGGUUCACUAAUUCGUACAUAUAUAAUACACACACAAAAAAAGGGUUCACUGUCGAAUGACGGACCAAGCCCAUAUAUAGACUCCCCGGAAUGCCGACAGCGAGCGACUCAUUAAAUCAUACAUAUAGGGUAAAAAAAAAAUCUCCAUGGAACAACGGACCAAGCCCAUAUAUAGGCUUUCCGGGACGCCGACAGCGAGAAAGUCAUUAAGUCCACGCAUAUCCAAUAAAAAAAAUCUCUCUGUCGAACGACGGACAAAGCCCAUAUAUAGGCUUUCCGGGACACCGACAGCGAGAAAGUGAUUAAGUCCACGCAUAUCCAAUAAACAAAAAGAAUCGUGCUGUCGAACGACGGACCAAGCCCGGGUAUAGGCUUCCCGGAACGCCGAUCAUGAUAGGGUAUAGGCUUCCCGAAACGCCGACCGUGAGAUCAUGAUUUUUGUAUGAAUAGAUGCAGAUCAAACGCAUCAGGAGCCUCAUACAUCGAUGCAGGGAAUAUAGUGUACAUACAAGGCAUUGUGUCUUGGACACUAUUAUAGAGGCUGACAUAGAUGAAACGACAAAUAAAAGGAUAAUCAUACCGUCGGGAAAGCAAAUUAACCUAAAUCGAAUCUAUCCAAGUCUCGAAUCCAUGUAUCAGCAGGAAAAAAAGAAGUCGGACAAACAAAGGUGACGUCCUAAAUAUUGAGAGGCAGAUUCUUAAUGAGAAGCGAAGUUGAUCACACCUGAAGCUGGUUGAAAUCACCACUUGCCCCACGGAGGUGCAUCUCAUGAGGGAGUAAAAUAGAUCUGGGACGAAUGAAACAGCAAACCAAUUAACAUAUGAAUUAACUAGGUACUGGCAAAUUACAAUAUCAUAUGAAGGGAAUGAAGACGAAGCCUUAAUGCGUACGGCGGUACGGGGCUGCGGCCACAGUCUAAGCGGAAUAAAGUCUAACCUCGUCUCCGACGUUUUCUAGCUGAUCUGAGAAAGAAGGAUGCCGGUUGUUUAAAAGAGAGUUGAGGAGAUAGCGGACUGAGUUUGUUGGCCGGAUAGAGUUUGUUAGCUGGCUAACCCCAAACGUGGCCUGAUUUCUAGCUUGCAUGGUUGCAAAAUUAG
rnacentral:lncRNA from 1 species